rnacentral:rRNA from 1 species
AUUGAACGCUGGCGGCAGGCCUAACACAUGCAAGUCGAGCGGCUGAAGGGAGCUUGCCCCUUGAUUCAGCGGCGCACGCGUGAGUAAUGCCUAUGAAUCUGCCUGGUAGUGUGGGAGAACGUCCGGAAACGGGCGCUAUUAUCGCACACGCCCUGAGGGAGAGAGUGGGGGAUCUUCGGACCUCACGCUAUCAGAGGAUCCUAGGUCGGAUUAGCUAGUUGGUGGGGUAAAGGCCUACCAAGGCGACGAUCCGUAACUGGUCUGAGAGGAUGAUCAGUCACACUGGAACUGAGACACGGUCCAGACUCCUACGGGAGGCAGCAGUGGGGAAUAUUGGACAAUGGGCGAAAGCCUGAUCCAGCCAUGCCGCGUGUGUGAAGAAGGUCUUCGGGUUGUAAAGCACUUUAAGUUGGGAGGAAAGGCAGUAAGUUAAUACGUUGCUGUUUUGACGUUACCGGCAGAAUAAGCACCGGCUAACUACGUG